rnacentral:rRNA from 1 species
AACUUACCAGGUCAAGACAUGGGCGUGAUUGACAGGCUAAUGACUUUUCUCGAUUCCAUGGAUGGUGGUGCAUGGUCGCACUUAGUUGGUGCAGUGAUUUGUCAGGUUUAUUCCGGUAACGAACGAGACCUCGGCCUUGUAAAUAGCUAUGCUGCUUACAGGGACAUUGGCGGCUACGCCAAGGAAGCUCGAGGCAAUUGCAGAUCUGGAAUGCCCUUAGAUGUCCUGGGUCGCACGCGUGCUACAAUGACGCCACGAACGAGCUUGCGUGAUGAAAGUUACGCAUAAUCAGCAGUCGGCGUCUUAAGGGAUAGUCUCUUGUAACUGUGGGACUCCAACUAGGAAUGUCUCGUAAGCACAAGUCAACAUCUUGUGUUGAUUACGUCCCUGCUCUUUGUACUCACCGCCCGUCGCUCCUACCGAUCGAGUGUUUAGGUGAAUUUGAUGGACGUAAGGAAGUCAAAUAAACCUGAGCACUAGAGAAGAGAAGUCGAAGCAUC